UGUCUCGCCCGAUCCGCUUGCUGGCGUGACUGUCCGUUUUGAUGUCACUAUUCUGACCUUUAGCCUACCAACGAUGUGGAGCACAUAAGAAGAGUAUCGUACUAGAGCAAAAGAAAGAUGAUGGUAUUAAUCGUGAAUUUAUAAUAUUGUUGUUACAUGGUGAUGAUUAAUGUCGAUCAAGAGUCCGAAACCCACGUCAAAUUGGCUAAAAAUUACAAAGGCUAUGUAAAGUGCUCAUGUUGUGUUGUCCUACGAAGGCUAAAUUGUUGUCAUCUUUCCUUUGAA